rnacentral:rRNA from 1 species
ACGAACGCUGGCGGCGUGCUUAACACAUGCAAGUCGAACGGAAAGGCCCUGCUUUUGUGGGGUGCUCGAGUGGCGAACGGGUGAGUAACACGUGAGUCACCUGCCCUUGACUUUGGGAUAACUUCAGGAAACUGGGGCUAAUACCGGAUAGGAGCUCCUGCUGCAUGGUGGGGGUUGGAAAGUUUCGGCGGUUGGGGAUGGACUCGCGGCUUAUCAGCUUGUUGGUGGGGUAGUGGCUUACCAAGGCUUUGACGGGUAGCCGGCCUGAGAGGGUGACCGGCCACAUGGGGACUGAGAUACGGCCCAGACUCCUACGGGAGGCAGCAGUGGGGAAUAUUGCACAAUGGGCGGAAGCCUGAUGCAGAAACGCCGCGUGCGGGAUGACGGCCUUCGGGUUGUAAACCGCUUUCGCCUGUGACGAAGCGUGAGUGACGGUAAUGGGUAAAGAAGCACCGGCUAACUACGUG